rnacentral:rRNA from 1 species
GACGAACGCUGGCGGCGUGCUUAACACAUGCAAGUCGAACGGAAAGGCCUCUUUCGGGGGGUACUCGAGUGGCGAACGGGUGAGUAACACGUGAGUAACCUGCCCUUGACUUUGGGAUAACUUCCGGAAACUGGGGCUAAUACCGGAUAGGAGCUCCUGCUGCAUGGAGGGGGUUGGAUAGUUUCGGCGGUUGGGGAUGGACUCGCGGCUUAUCAGCUUGUUGGUGGAGUAGUGGCUUACCAAGGCUUUGACGGGUAGCCGUCCUGAGAGGGUGACCGGCCACAUUGGGACUGAGAUACGGACCAGACUCCUACGGGAGGCAGCAGUGGGGAAUAUUGCCCAAUGGGUGGAAGCCUGAUGCAGCAACGCCGUGUGCGGGAUGACGGGCUUCGGGUUGUAAACCGCUUUCGCUCAUGACGAAGCUUUGUGUGACGGUAGUGGGUAAAGAAGCACCGGCUAACUACGUG